CGCAAUUCAUUAUUAAAAUAUUUUUAUCAUUAAUUUUUCAUUUGUGCAAAUUAAAGUGCUUUACUGUAACGUUUUCAAUGGUAUUUGUGUUCCAUUAUACGCCGGUUACCAAAUAUAAUCGGUGUACUCGGUGUUGAAAUGGAGGCGUUAGUUUUUAGUCUCAAAAAUCUCGUGCACCCGAGUACUUAACUUUAAUGCAUAUGUUUGGCUGAUUUACAGGAUUGCGGAAGAAAACUUCGUCGUCUAUUAUCCAUCGUAUGAAAACACACGUUAACAGAGUGUUUUUGAUUGAGAAAAGUUCUAGGACCCAAUCAUGAAAGCAGCACUUGUGACUUGUCCCAGCUGAAAAAAUAAGCGUUGUAUACGUACACGACGUGAUAAUCUGUAUUUUGCCGUUGUAAAGAGAGCGAAGGCGACGUCUUUAACUUCCGUGGGAUUUUAAUUGUUCCGAUUUCUGCUCAUUUUCUUGUACUCAUAAUCUCAUAUGCUAUCAUAUCUAUAGCCGCCGUCUUCGGUUGUACUUUCGUCCGGCCUGUUAACGUUCCUAAUAACAGCAGUUCUUUAUAAUUUUGAAUAUGUAAAAUUUAAGGCUGUUUCUUGAGUAGAUUAAGCCUUGGUAAAGCCCAGGUCACACUACACAACGACAACGAUACGAUAACUUGUAUACGCGCGCUGAUUGGUGAAAAAUUUAUCGUUAUCGUCCGACUGAAAAAAAAUCGCUCAGGUGAGCGAUUUUAAAAUCGUUAUCGUUAUCGUCUAACGAUAAUUUUACCCUUUUCGUUUUGACAAUUAUCGCUUGUUUACAAUUUAUCGUAUCGUUAUCGUUGUGUAGUGUGACCGGGCCUUAACGCGAGUCAACGAGACGGUGCUUUUCUUCUUCGUGUUUUGCUGACGAACUAAUGAAGACAAGAAACUGUCAUUUUAUUAUUGACAGGCCAUACUUAACCACCAGCUCCUUUAUACAAAUAAAAUGUUUAAAUCUAAUCCUACUCUCUAAUACAGCUAAUAAUGGCAACCCAAAAAUAGCUGUGGUUAUUCCUGUUAAGAUAAUUGCAUUGUUUUAUUGUCUUCCAUUACCAUGAUCAACUUCCUCCUAUUGAGUUCAAAUCGAAGAUUCAAUCCCCAAUAUAAACACAACCCCCCACUGGCUGACCAUAAUCCUAUCAAAUCAGGCAUUUUAAGAAAUCCGUUCUCACAGCAGAAAGAAC